rnacentral:rRNA from 1 species
CCUACGGGUGGCAGCAGUGAGGAAUAUUGGUCAAUGGGCGGACGCCUGAACCAGCCAAGUAGCGUGCAGGAUGACGGCCCUACGGGUUGUAAAAUGCUAUUAUACGGGAAUAACGCGCCUUACGUGUAGGGCUUUGCAUGUACCGUAUGAAUAAGGACCGGCUAAUUCCGUGCCAGCAGCCGCGGUUAUACGGAAGGUCCGGGCGUUGUCCGGAUUUAUUGGGUUCAAAGGGAGCGUAGGCCUCAUGUCAAGCGUGCUGUGAAAUGUCCGGGCUCAACCCGGGCCUUGGAGCGCGAACUGGCGUGAUUGAGUCCGCGGAAAGCAGGCGGAAUUCGUCGUGUAGCGGUGAAAUGCUUAGAUAUGACGAAGAACCCCGAUUGCGAAGGCAGCUUGCUGCAGCGGAACUGACGCUGAUGCUCGAAAGCGCGGGUAUCGAACAGGAUUAGAUACCCUUGUAGUC